rnacentral:rRNA from 1 species
UCAGGAUGAACGCUAGCUACAGGCUUAACACAUGCAAGUCGAGGGGGCAGCAUGAACUUAGCUUGCUAAGUUUGAUGGCGACCGGCGCACGGGUGAGUAACACGUAUCCAACCUUCCGGUUUACUCAGGGAUAGCCUUUCGAAAGAAAGAUUAAUACCUGAUAGUAUGGUGAGAUUGCAUGAUAACACCAUUAAAGAUUUAUUGGUAAACGAUGGGGAUGCGUUCCAUUAGGUAGUAGGCGGGGUAACGGCCCACCUAGCCUGCGAUGGAUAGGGGUUCUGAGAGGAAGGUCCCCCACAUUGGAACUGAGACACGGUCCAAACUCCUACGGGAGGCAGCAGUGAGGAAUAUUGGUCAAUGGACGAGAGUCUGAACCAGCCAAGUAGCGUGCAGGAAGACGGCCCUAUGGGUUGUAAACUGCUUUUAUAAGGGAAUAAAGUGAGUCUCGUGAGACUUUUUGCAUGUACCUUAUGAAUAAGGACCGGCUAAUUCCGUG